rnacentral:rRNA from 1 species
UACGUAGGGUGCGAGCGUUGUCCGGAAUUACUGGGCGUAAAGGGCGUGCAGGCGGUUCGUCAAGUCAGAUGUGAAAGGUCUCGGCUAAACCGAGAAAGGUCAUUUGAAACUGGCGAACUAGAGUGAGAUAGAGGUUAACGGAAUUCCCGGUGUAGUGGUGAAAUGCGUAGAGAUUGGGAAGAACACCGGUGGCGAAAGCGCUCUGCUAGGCCGAAACUGACACUCAUGGACGAAAGCUAGGGGAGCGAAUGGG